rnacentral:rRNA from 1 species
UACGUAGGGGGCAAGCGUUGUCCGGAAUCAUUGGGCGUAAAGAGCGUGUAGGCGGCCCGAUAAGUCCGCUGUGAAAGUCCAGGGCUCAACCCUGGGAUGCCGGUGGAUACUGUCGGGCUCGAGUCCGGAAGAGGAGUGUGGAAUUCCUGGUGUAGCGGUGAAAUGCGCAGAGUAUCAGGAGGAACACCAAUGGCGAAGGCAGCACUCUGGGGACGUGACUGACGCUGAGACGCGAAAGCGUGGGGGAGCAAACAGG